rnacentral:rRNA from 1 species
UACGGGGGGGGCAAGCGUUGUUCGGAAUUACUGGGCGUAAAGGGCUCGUAGGUGGCCAACUAAGUCAGACGUGAAAUCCCUCGGCUUAACCUGGGAACUGCGUCUGAUACUGGAUGGCUUGAGUUCGGGAGAGGGAUGCGGAAUUCCAGGUGUAGCGGUGAAAUGCGUAGAUAUCUGGAGGAACACCGGUGGCGAAGGCGGCAUCCUGGACCGACACUGACACUGAGGAGCGAAAGCCAGGGGAGCAAACGGG